rnacentral:rRNA from 1 species
CCUACGGGUGGCAGCAGUGGGGGAUAUUGCACAAUGGGGGAAACCCUGAUGCAGCGACGCCGCGUGUAGGAAGACGGUCCUCUGGAUUGUAAACUACUGUCCCCAGGGACGAAGAUGACGGUACCUGGGGAGGAAGCUCCGGCUAACUACGUGCCAGCAGCCGCGGUAAUACGUAGGGAGCGAGGGUUGUCCGGAAUUAUUGGGUUUAAAGGGUGCGCAGGCGGAAGAUCAAGUCAGCGGUAAAAUUGUGAGGCUCAACCUCUUCGAGUCGUUGAAACUGGUUUUCGUGAGUGGGUGAGAAGUAUGCGGAAUGCGUGGUGUAGCGGUGAAAUGCAUAGAUAUCACGCAGAACUCCGAUUGCGAAGGCAGCAUACCGGCGCUCAACUGACGCUCAUGCACGAAAGUGUGGGUAUCGAACAGGAUUAGAUACCCCUGUAGUC